CAGCUGAGGCUAAGAUUCGGAGAGAGAAAAUCUAGCCGGAGCCCAAAGGGAAGAAUGCCAGGGAAUUUCUGAAGUGGCUUAUUUCCCAGGGUUAUUGUGAAGUAAGUGAGACAAUAUAUAUAUAAAUGCUUUCUUUAUUGUAAAGGGUGAAAUAGUUCAGUGGUUUAGGGCACAGAUUCUGCAAUCAAGUUCCCUGAGUUUAAAUCUUGGCUCUGUUGCUUUUCUGGCUGGGUGACCUCAGAUGAGGACACUGAGGAGGAGAAAGGUUGAGUACCCUGGUCAAGAUCUCAGAGGUGACAUAUGGCAGAGCCCAGUCAGGUCUAAACCCAAGACUGAUUGUCUUCCAACUGGCAAGUCUACAGCUUUAAUCUCAAUGCACAGCCAUAUUUAAGAUCAUGUCACGACCUUUACAUGGCUUUAUAUGGCUUCUUUGCUUUCUCAAAGUCAAAGGAGUUUUAUGGCUGCAGGACUUUUAUGGUUCAAGUCUUUAAUCCAUUUUCAGUUAAGUUUUGUGUAUGGUAGAAGAUAGGAGUCCAGUUUCAUCCUUUUGAAUGUGGAUGUCAAGUUUUUCCGGCACCAUUUAUUGAAGAGACUAUCCUUUCCCCCUUGUGUAUCUGUGG